AUUGAACGCUGGCGGCAGGCCUAACACAUGCAAGUCGAGCGAGCGGCGGACGGGUGAGUAAUGUAUGGGGACUGCCCGAUAGAGGGGGAUAACUACUGGAAACGGUAGCUAAUACCGCAUACUAUCGGAUAACCCAUAUGGGAUUAGCUAGUUGGUGGGGUAAUGGCUCACCAAGGCGACGAUCCCUAGCUGGUCUGAGAGGAUGAUCAGCCACACUGGGACUGAGACACGGCCCGGACGCCUACGGGGGCAGCGGUGGGGAAUAUUGGACAAUGGGCGCAAGCCUGAUGCAGCCGUGCCGCGUGUAUGAAGAGGGCCCUAGGGUUGUAAAGUACUUUCAGUCGGGAGGCGUUACCGACAGAAGAGGCACCGGCUAACUCCGUGCCAGCGGCCGCGGUAAUUC
rnacentral:rRNA from 1 species